GUGCAGAGCAAAACUAUAGAUAUAUAAAAAAGAGGGACAAAAAGAAAAAUAUUAAGUGUUUGAAUGAAAAUACAUUAAAAACAUUACAAAUAGAUAUUAAGUGUUUACAUUUUUUAUAGUUCUGCAUAACUUAGUUGCUGGGUUUCUAUGAAGCUAUGAAACAUGCUUGAAUAUAGCAACAUAACAAAAGUAGCCUUCAGAACCUUGUAUAGGAUUGAUGUUUGGUGAGAAACCAUACAAACAUUACAUUUAUAUUCUAGUGAGAAUUUCAGGAAGCGAACUUCUGAAAGGGACACUAUAUGAGCCAAAAAAAAAUGUUAAGGGGCGCUAAUCAGUUAGAGGGGUUAUUUAGAUUUCAGGGGCCCCCUUUGUAACAAUAAAAGCAAGUAAUCAAAACCAUUACUUUCCUAUAAUCCAGAGCCAAGACAGUCUCUUCUCUGCAGUUCAGUACACCUCAGCUAAGGUCAUGUGGCUUGGUGUCGAUAUCUCAAUGAGACUCAUAUAAAAGCAUUGUGGACUUGAAGGAAUACUAUAACGUUAGGAAUACAAACCUGUAUUCCUAACAUUAUACGUUCCUAUCCCUAAUACUAUUAUGUGUGCUCCCUCGGGUUCAUCACUUAAAGAGUUAGAAAACCUAUUUUACUAUACUUACCUUGUUUCCAGUAUAGAGGCUCCCUCAAUGCUGCUCACCUCUCCUACAGAGGCUCAGUCAUGAAAGAGGCAGGGUCUAGUCCAGCAGGGUCCAAUCCAAUCACCUCACGCAGAGUCUUUGUCAUAGGAAUGCAUUCAAUCGAUGCUUUCCUAUGGGGGUUCUGUGUCACGUAACCUAGUCUUACUCGGUCUGUACCGCGGAAGAGCUUCAAUAAUGCUCUUAGAGCCAUAAUGCUGUCAAAGCAUGAACGGAUAUGUAGUCUACAACAUCUAGAGUGCCGAAGGUUGCCUCCACCUGAUCUAGUGUAGAUGUGUUAAGCUCCAUCCCAUAUAACACUGGGGAAUGUUUUACAUUUCGCAAGCAAAACAGCAGGGCCACUGCACCGAGACCACUUUAUUGAUGCCACCAGGAGCUUUGCAUACCUAUAAUAUGACUAUUUAACCAUUGUAUUUAUCUUUUUUUUUCACAGAUACUGUAUGUGACAAGAUAAUAUUUAUUCUUCUAAGGAAAUAGAAUAGAAC